rnacentral:rRNA from 1 species
UCUUCCUCAAUGGACGAAAGUCUGACGGAGCAACGCCGCGUGAGUGAUGAAGGCUUUCGGGUCGUAAAACUCUGUUGGUAGGGAAGAACAAGUGCUAGUUGAAUAAGCUGGCACCUUGACGUUACCGAACCAGAAAGCCACGGCUAACCACGAGCCCGCAGCCGCGGUAAUACGUAGGUGGCAAGCGUUAUCCGGAAUUAUUGGGCGUAAAGCGCGCGCAGGUGGUUUCUUAAGUAUGAUGUGAAAGCCCACGGCUCAACCGUGGAGGGUCAUUGGAAACUGGGAGACUUGAGUGCAGAAGAGGAAAGUGGAAUUCCAUGUGUAGCGGUGAAAUGCGUAGAGAUAUGGAGGAACACCAGUGGCGAAGGCGACUUUCUGGUCUGUAACUGACACUGAGGCGCGAAAGCGUGGGGAGCAAACAGGA